AGUGGAUGGGGAGCAACCUAGUUGUGCGUGUGUAAAGGUAGUGCCAAGAAAAGCGAUGAUCAUGUUGAAAAUCAAUUCCCGGUACCCGAAACCGACACAGGUGGGCAAGUAGAGAAUACUAAGGGGCGCGAGGUAACUCUCUCCAAGGAACUCGGCAAAAUGACCCCGUAACUUAGGGAGAAGGGGUGCCACCGAGAGGUGGUCGCAGUGAAGAGGCCCAGGCGACUGUUUAGCAAAAACAUAGGUCUCUGCAAACUCGAAAGAGGAGGUAUAGGGGCUGACGCCUGCCCAGUGCCGGAAGGUUAAAGAAGUUGGUCAGUUUUAGGAUGAAGCUAGCGACUGAAGCCCCGGUGAACGGCGGCCGUAACUAUAACGGUCCUAAGGUAGCGAAAUUCCUUGUCGGGUAAGUUCCGACCCGCACGAAAGGCGUAACGAUCUGGGCGCUGUCUCGGAGAGAGGCUCGGCGAAAUAGGAUUGUCUGUGAAGAUACGGACUACCUGCAUUUGGACAGAAAGACCCUAUGAAGCUUUACUAUAGCUUGGAAUUGUGUUCGGGCUUCCUGUGCGCAGGAUAGGUGGGAGGCGUAGAAGGUAUUCUUGUGGGGAUACUGGAGCCAACGGUGAGAUACCACUCUCAGGAGGCUAGAAUUCUAACUUAAUUAAGGACAGUUUCAGGUGGGUAGUUUGACUGGGGCGGUCGCCUCCAAAAAGGUAACGGAGGCGUACAAAGGUUCCCUCAGACUGGUUGGAAAUCAGUCGAAGAGUGCAAAGGCAGAAGGGAGCUUGACUGCGAGAAGUACAGUUCGAGCAGGGUGGAAACACGGUCUUAGUGAUCCGACGGUGCUGUGUGGAAGGGCCGUCGCUCAACGGAUAAAAGUUACUCUAGGAUAACAGGCUGAUCUCCCCCAAGAGUUCACAUCGACGGGGAGGUUUGGCACCUCGAUGUCGGCUCAUCGCAACCUGGGGCGGAAGUACGUCCCAAGGGUUGGGCUGUUCGCCCAUUAAGGCGGUACGUGAGCUGGGUUCAGAACGUCGUGAGACAGUUCGGUCCAUAUCCGAUGUAGGCGUGAGAAUAUUGAGAGGAGCCUUCCUUAGUACGAGAGGACCGGGAAGGACGCACCGCUGGUGUACCUGUUAUGAUGCCAAUUGUAAACGCAGGGUAGCCAAGUGCGGAGAGGAUAACCGCUGAAAGCAUCUAAGUGGGAAGCCCACCUCAAGAUGAGUAUUCUGGUGUAAGGUCACGGGAAGACGACCCGUAAAUAGGCACGAGGUGGAAGUGCAGAGAUGUAUGAAGCCGAAGUGUACUAAUAGACCGUCGGCUUGACC
rnacentral:rRNA from 1 species